CCUACGGGUGGCAGCAGUGAGGAAUAUUGGUCAAUGGCCGCAGGGCUGAACCAGCCAAGUCGCGUGAGGGAUGACGGUCCUAUGGAUUGUAAACCUCUUUUGUCAGGGAGCAAAGGGCGCCACGUGUGGCGCUUUGCGAGUACCUGAAGAAUAAGCAUCGGCUAACUCCGUGCCAGCAGCCGCGGUAAUACGGAGGAUGCGAGCGUUAUCCGGAUUUAUUGGGUUUAAAGGGUGCGCAGGCGGAAUGUCAAGUCAGCGGUAAAAUUUUGGGGCUCAACCCCGUCGUGCCGUUGAAACUGGCAUUCUUGAGUGAACGAGAAGUAUGCGGAAUGCGUGGUGUAGCGGUGAAAUGCAUAGAUAUCACGCAGAACUCCGAUUGCGAAGGCAGCAUACCGGCGCCCGACUGACGCUGAGGCACGAAAGCGUGGGGAUCGAACAGGAUCAGAUACCCUUGUAGUC
rnacentral:rRNA from 1 species